AGGAAUAGGAAACUUGCGUUUUUCAUUCUUCUUUUGUUCAGUUUUGAGAGGUUUUUUUCUCUCUAAGAAAAUCGUUCUUUGAAAACUAGAUAAGAAAGUUAGUAAAGUUAUCACAAGUGAAAACUUGUAAAAAGAAGUAACCGAGAAUCAUCUGAAAGUGAAACUUUCCGCUUUGGAAGUGGUCAUCGCUGACCGCAGAAGAAGCAAAAAGACCUUACGCAAUCGCGUAAAU
rnacentral:misc_RNA from 1 species